GGGAGGGGGCCAGGAAAUACUCAAAGGGUCGACCUGCAAUUUGAAGCAGGAUCAGAAGGGGGGAGGGUGGCUCACACUCUGGCACCCCAGCCCCUGGGGAUAUACAAGCACAGUUGGAAGACCUCCAGCUCUCACUCAGAUCCGGGGCCCGGCUAGCGCCGUGGAGGGGAGGACUGUGGCAGCGCAGGCCCGGGGAAGCAGGGAAGACAGAUGGCGGCUCUCAGGUCGGCAUGUGGGGGUGGGAGCUGCACACUCGGGCACGUGGACAGAGGGGAAGGGGCUGCGGAGGAGGAAGGAGUAGGGAGAUGUGGGAGGCAGCCCCGCACCCAGGGGCCCCUCUGCAUGCUCUCCCUCCCCUGCGUGCGGCCUGGCACAGCACAGCGUGGGUGGGUGGGCUGCCAGGGGCUGGCAGGAGCUCUGUCUGCACAGGUGGUCGCCCUGAGGCAGACAGAUGCAAGGGGCUGCCAGCACCCUCCCCUGCACCAUCCCAGCACCCCGGGGUCCAAAAGCUUCCGAAUUUCUUUCCUGGGAUACAACAGCAGUCCUGCACUAUGCUCAGCUCCACAAGAGAGGGCAGUGUAGGCUUUGAGGAAACAGCUCGGAGGCCUGCUGAGUCCCCCAGCUCUGGGAGGACUGCGACGAGCCCUGUGAGGCCAGAGGAGUGAGCGGCCGGCCCACAGCGCCCGUGAGGACGUGGAGAUGCUGACAGCUGCCGUCAGUAUCACAGCUGAGAGGAGGCGUGCCCUGGAAACACAUGACAACAUACAUACACGCAGAAGGAGCAGCUGGUGUCUGGGCAGAGGACAAAUGGCUUUCUUUACACCUCAUUCUUCCUCGAGAGGGAGCGGUGUGAAGCGCCUUCUCACUGGAAGGACAUGCUCUACUAUAAAACAUCAAUAUUCACUUCCUGGGAGUGCCAGGACUAAGAAUGAUCUUUUCCUACCUUUUUGGCUUUUUCCAAUUUUUCUAAAACGAGCAUGUGAAUUAACUAUGGGUGCAUAUAUUACAUUUACGACUGGACCGUUAAUCUCAGAGAAAUUCAUAAAAUGUGCGGAAGUUGUUAAAGGCCCAGGAGGAAACCCAGUCCUCCGGCGACGCGGGGACUGAGGCCCAGAGCGGCGCCGUCCCCCUGGCCGUCCCCCCGGCUUUCGUGAGUCUGCCCAGCGAAGCGCUCAGGGAGAGCGGCCUCUGCUCAGGAGGUGCGUCCUAGCUUCUGCUUCCUGGCACGGACGCUGAUUUUAUCAGUUUUGAUUAUGUAGAAAAUUGAGUGUGAUCUACUCACAAUGUUCUCCAAAGGCUACAGAGAGAUGCAAGCAAGGGAGAGAAGCAGGCUCGUCGAAGCAGGGCUGGGCGGGGCAGGAGAAGGGCGUCUGUGUCUCCCCUGCAGGGGCUCCCCGUUUAGUAAAACGAGGAAACUGAGUGCCAUAUCGUGAUUGAUAAGAAAUAUAUAUUUGGUCAUUCCGAUGAUCAAAAUACAUUUCUCAUAUUUAUUUGGUCUUCAUCCACAGUUCCUGGCUUACAGCUCCCAAAACCCUCGGAAUUUCCUAAGUGUUGAGCAUGGUAGAGGUGCCUUUUGUUACGUUAAUGAGGUACUUCUGGACCCCCGUAAGGAAGGGGGCUGGUUGCCAGGAGGACCAACUACCUCGUCAUUGUUGUGUUGAACUCCCACCUCCACCUCUGGGGAGGGGAGAGGAGCUGGAGAUGGAAUCAAUUGCCAAUGGCUAGUGCUUUAAUCAGCCAUGCCUAUGUAAUGAAGCCUCCACAAAAAAACAAAGGGCCUGGGUUCGGAGAGCUUCCGGUUGGUGACCACGUGGAGAUGUGGGGAGAGGGGCACUUGGGAGACGGCGUGGAAGCUCUGCGCCCUUUCCCAACACCUUACCCUCUGCGUCUCUUCCAUCUGGCUGUUCCAGGGUUGUAUCCUUUUAUAAUAAACCAGUGAUCUAGUAAGUAAAGUGUUUUCCUGAGUUCUGUGAGCCCCUCUAGCAAAUUAAUCGAACCUGAGGAGGGGGUCUUGGGAUCUACAGCCGCUUAGUCAGAAGGACAGGUGAUAAUCUGGGCUUGCAAUUGG
ensembl:lncRNA